UAACAAGGAUUCCCCUAGUAACUGCGAGUGAAGCGGGAAAAGCUCAAAUUUAAAAUCUGGCGUCCUCUGGGCGUCCGAGUUGUAAUCUGGAGAAGUGUUUUCCGCGUUGGACCGUGUACAAGUCUCCUGGAACGGAGCGUCAUAGAGGGUGAGAAUCCCGUCCAUGACACGGACUACCAAUGCUUUGUGAUACGCUCUCGAAGAGUCGAGUUGUUUGGGAAUGCAGCUCAAAAUGGGUGGUAAAUUCCAUCUAAAGCUAAAUAUUGGCGAGAGACCGAUAGCGAACAAGUACCGUGAGGGAAAGAUGAAAAGCACUUUGGAAAGAGAGUUAAACAGUACGUGAAAUUGUUGAAAGGGAAACGCUUGAAGUCAGUCGCGUCUUGCGGAACUCAGCCUUACUUCGGUCUGGUGUACUUUCCGUUUGACGGGUCAACAUCAAUUUUGAUCGGUAGAAAAAGCUUGAGGAAAUGUAGCGUUGUUUCGGCGACGUGUUAUAGUCUUCUUGCGUAUAUAUCGGUUGGGAUUGAGGACCGCAGCACGCCUUUAAUGGCCGGGGGUUCGCCCUACGUAUCGUGCUUAGGAUGUUGGCAUAAUGGCUUUAAGCGAC
rnacentral:rRNA from 1 species